GACGAACGCUGGCGGCGUGCCUAAUGCAUGCAAGUCGCACACAGCACCUUCGGGUGUUGAGUGGCGCACGGCUGAGGAUACCGUGGGUACGUGCCCUCCAGUGGGGGAUAACAGCCCGAAAGGACUGCUAAUCCCGCAUACGCUCACCCCCGGGUGAGGAAAGCCGCAAGGCGCCGGAGGAGCGGCCCGCGUCCCAUCAG
rnacentral:rRNA from 1 species